rnacentral:lncRNA from 1 species
CGGAGGGGCGGGCGGCGGCGGAGCGGCCCCUGGGGGUGGGGGUGCGCGGCCCUCCCCGCCCCAUUCCCGCUCCGAGAAGGAGUGGGGCGCUCGUUUUGAGCGGGAGGAGGAAAAUGAGUGAUUGCUGAGCCGAUCCCUUGUGUUAUGUAAUCUCUGCUUGGUCUAAUAGUACAUCCUAAGCCUUAGUGCACUGCAGCUAGUUUACGAAGUCUCCUCCCUCGGUCCCCAAAUUUCUUUUGGGAUGGCGCCGUGAUUUAUAAAAUGGAAUGAGGCGGGGAAUCUUUAUUUUCUGGUGAUUAUGUCCUGCCGCGGUGGGCGCCAUGUUUAUCCCG